CCAGCCCGCUCAGAAACUCAAAUGAAGUUGACGGGGCCCGCACAAGCGGUGGAGUAUGUGGUUUAAUUCGAUGCAACGCGAAGAACCUUACCUGGUCUUGACAUCCCGGAGACCCUUAGGAAACUAGGGGGUGCUUCCCAUCUGGAAGAAUCUGGAGACAGGUGCUGCAUGGCUGUCGUCAGCUCGUGUCGUGAGAUGUUGGGUUAAGUCCCGCAACGAGCGCAACCCUUGCCUUUAGUUGCCAGCAGUUCGGCUGGGCACUCUAAAGGGACUGCCGGUGUUAAACCGGAGGAAGGUGGGGAUGACGUCAAGUCCUCAUGGCCUCUAUGACCAGGGCUACACACGUACUACAAUGGCCGAUACAAAGGGCAGCGACACUGCGAGGUGAAGCCAAUCCCGUAAAAUCGGUCUCAGUCCGGAUUGGAGUCUGCAACUCGACUCCAUGAAGUUGGAAUCGCUAGUAAUCGUGGAUCAGCAUGCCACGGUGAAUACGUUCCCGGGCCUU
rnacentral:rRNA from 1 species